UACGAAGGGGGCUAGCGUUGUUCGGAAUUACUGGGCGUAAAGCGCACGUAGGCGGAUUUGUUAGUCAGGGGUGAAAUCCCGGGGCUCAACCUCGGAACUGCCUCUGAUACUGCAAGUCUCGAGUCCGAUAGAGGUGAGUGGAAUUCCUAGUGUAGAGGUGAAAUUCGUAGAUAUUAGGAAGAACACCAGUGGCGAAGGCGGCUCACUGGAUCGGUACUGACGCUGAGGUGCGAAAGCGUGGGGAGCAAACAGG
rnacentral:rRNA from 1 species